rnacentral:rRNA from 1 species
CGUCUAUAUACGUAUAGCAUAUCAAUAAGCGGAGGAAAAGAAACUAACUAGGAUUCCCUCAGUAACGGCGAGUGAAGCGGGAAGAGCUCAAAUUUGAAAUCUUCGAGGUUCUACCUUGACGAAUUGUAGUUUAAAGAAGUGUUUUCUGUUGGAGUUUUGGUAAAAGUUCUUUGGAAUAGGACAUCAUAGAGGGUGAGAAUCCCGUAUUUGACCAUUAUUUCAGCUGUGUGAUACACUUUCAAAGAGUCGGAUUGUUUGGGAAUGCAGUCCAAAAUGGGUGGUAAAUUUCAUCUAAAGCUAAAUAUUGGCGAGAGACCGAUAGCGAACAAGUACCGUGAGGGAAAGAUGAAAAGAACUUUGAAAAGAGAGUUAAACAGUACGUGAAAUUGUCAAAAGGGAAGCGUUUGACACCAGUGUUGUUUUCUCGAAAAUCAAUUAAAAAUGGCUGGAUUUUGUGUUGUAUUGACCUUAUAAGCUUUCUGCACUCUUUUCAUGUCUUUUUUAAUGCACUUUUCGUCUAACAAGUCAACAUCAAUUUCUUUUGUUGUAAAAGGGUCAUUGGAAGGUGGCUUUCUUUUCGGAGAAAGUGUUUAUAGCCUUUGGCUUCUGCAAUCGGAGAGAUUGAGGUCUGCAGCGUAGAUCCUUCGGGGUUAGAUACAUUAGAUGCUAAGUUAUAGCUUUUUAUAGACAACUUGUUGACUAUGAUUAAGUCAUGUAGCUUACUCGUUAUGCCUAUUUUACCUACGCUUAGGAUGUUGAAGUCAUCGUAUCGCGC